rnacentral:lncRNA from 1 species
GGUUUUUCUAAUUCUUCAACAGAGCUUUUCAAUUGCAUGGCCUAAGCUCGUUUGUAGCUUUGUUCUGCGAAGGUGUGUGUUUGGCUUUUUUUUUCCCUUUCUAAUUUUAUAGCUCUCAUUAAAUAAAGGUUCUGUUAAUUGUUUAUCAGCAGCUCUCCAGGCUAGCAGCUUUCCAGCUCAGCAACUUUAGCAAAACUGUGUGACCAUUAAGUCUUUGUACUUUGCUGCUGAAACCUUAUGGCCCAGAAAUAAUAAGUGUCCAUUAAUCACCUAAACUUGUACAUUAAUGCAUCCUUCCCCUGUGGUGACCUUCCUCAACUGGAGAAGAUGUAAAGCAACUAAAAUAACCACAGGCAGUGACUUUGAAGUAAGAAAACAAAGCAGCAAGAGGCAAUCCCUUCCUAUAAUGGCUAUUUGCAGGAGUCAUGCCUAGGUGAAAAGAUGAUUUGAAGAGAUGAAGGAAAUGAGACUGAUGAUCUUAAAGCAAGAAGAAGAAAGAAUGAAGUAAAAGUUGGAGGAAAUUCCAUCAAAAAGACUGGGAUUUUCCUAUGCUUUCAGACAUUUUGUUAUUUAUUUUCCUAAUUUAAAUUGCUAGUUACCUUUUGAAAUCGUAUCACAAGCAUGGAAAUAAGUGCAAACAAGGGAAAACCCCCACAUUUAUGGGCUUCUGCAUGUUUUGUCUGUCUAUUAAAGUGCUAUAGCAGUACUUGAAGCAUGAACUGAGGACGUUUCUAUGAAUAUCUAACAUUGCUGUAUUAAAGUACUGUAUUUCUUUCAUAAAUGUGAAGUCUGAAGGAAUCAGAUCUGUUAGUUUAGUCUUCAUUCCACUCUCUCUUAUAUUUCCACAUGGAAUAACAUUUUA